UACGUAGGGUGCGAGCGUUAUUCGGAAUUACUGGGCGUAAAGCGUGCGCAGGCGGUCUGUUAAGUCCGAUGUGAAAUCCCUCGGCUUAACCGGGGAACUGCGUCUGAUACUGGAUGGCUUGAGUUUGGGAGAGGGACGCGGAAUUCCAGGUGUAGCGGUGAAAUGCGUAGAUAUCUGGAGGAACACCGGUGGCGAAGGCGGCGUCCUGGACCAACACUGACACUGAGGCGCGAAAGCUAGGGGAGCAAACGGG
rnacentral:rRNA from 1 species